CCUGGACAGAAAGAUUAAACAACAUUGUUUCUCCUCAGGAACUCCUAAUGAAGUCCUUCACCUCUAUCACUUCUGGAGGAGAACAUGACUGGAUCCUGGAGACUAUUCCUGCUCUGUUGUCUCCUGCAAGGUGAUGGAUGCAGCUCUGCAGGAUUUGAGGCCAUAAUGCCAGAUAGAGUGACGACAUUCAGUGGAUCCUGUGUUACCGUUCCUUGUUCCUUCAC